UCCAGCCCACUCACCUAUCCACUAAACAGCAACUUCAAUGUUGAAAGAUUUUAUUUUAUUUUUUAUUUUAUUUUUUUGUGGCAGGCUUAUGCAAUGUCUGAUCAUAUAAUGUAACUAAACCCCCAUUAUUUUUGCCUAGAUUAGGUGUUUUAAAAAAAAACAAAUAAAAUCUUUCAACAUUGAAGUUGCUGUUUAGUGGAUAGGUGAGUGCGCUGGA
rnacentral:miRNA from 1 species